AUACGGAGGAUCCGAGCGUUAUCCGGAUUUAUUGGGUCUAAAGGGAGCGUAGGUGGAUAGUUAAGUCAGUUGUGAAAGUUUGCGGCUCAACCGUAAAAUUGCAGUUGAUACUGGCUGUCUUGAGUACAGUAGAGGUGGGCGGAAUUCGUGGUGUAGGGGUGAAAUGCUUAGAUAUCACGAAGAACUCCGAUUGCGAAGGCAGCUCACUAGACUGUUACUGACACUGAUGCUCGAAAGUGUGGGUAUCAAACAGGAUUAGAUACCCUGGUAGUCCACACAGUAAACGAUGAAUACUCGCUGUUUGCGAUAUACAGUAAGCGGCCAAGCGAAAGCAUUAAGUAUUCCACCUGGGGAGUACGCCGGCAACGGUGAAACUCAAAUGAAUUGGCGGGG
rnacentral:rRNA from 1 species